GAUGAACGCUGGCGGCGUGCCUAAUACAUGCAAGUCGAGCGAACAGACGAGGAGCUUGCUCCUCUGACGUUAGCGGCGGACGGGUGAGUAACACGUGGAUAACCUACCUAUAAGACUGGGAUAACUUCGGGAAACCGGAGCUAAUACCGGAUAAUAUAUUGAACCGCAUGGUUCAAUAGUGAAAGACGGUUUUGCUGUCACUUAUAGAUGGAUCCGCGCCGCAUUAGCUAGUUGGUAAGGUAACGGCUUUCCAAGGCAACGAUGCGUAGCCGACCUGAGAGGGUGAUCGGCCACACUGGAACUGAGACACGGUCCAGACUCCUAAGGGAGGCAGCAGUAGGGAAUCUUCCGCAAUGGGCGAAAGCUUGACGGAGCAACGCCGCGUGAGUGAUGAAGGUCUUCGGAUCGUAAAACUCUGUUAUUAGGGAAGAACAAAUGUGUAAGUAACUAUGCACGUCUUGACGGUACCUAAUCAGAAAGCCACGGCUAACUACGUG
rnacentral:rRNA from 1 species